rnacentral:rRNA from 1 species
CUACGUGCCAGCAGCCGCGGUAAUACGGAAGGUUCGGGCGUUAUCCGGAUUUAUUGGGUUUAAAGGGAGCGUAGGCCGGAGAUUAAGUGUGUUGUGAAAUGUAGACGCUCAACGUCUGACUUGCAGCGCAUACUGGUUUCCUUGAGUACGCACAACGUUGGCGGAAUUCGUCGUGUAGCGGUGAAAUGCUUAGAUAUGACGAAGAACUCCGAUUGCGAAGGCAGCUGACGGGAGCGCAACUGACGSUUAAGCUCGAAGGUGCGGGUAUCAAACAGGAUUAGAUACCCUGGUAGUCCGCACAGUAAACGAUGGAUGCCCGCUGUUGGUACCUGGUAUCAGCGGCUAAGCGAAAGCAUUAAGCAUCCCACCUGGGGAGUACGCCGGCAACGGUGAAACUCAAAGGAAUUGACGGGGGCCCGCACAAGCGGAGGAACAUGUGGUUUAAUUCGAUGAUACGCGAGGAACCUUACCCGGGCUUGAA